rnacentral:rRNA from 1 species
UAAAGAAAGCGUAAUAGCUCACUGGUCGAGUCGGCCUGCGCGGAAGAUGUAACGGGGCUAAACCAUGCACCGAAGCUGCGGCAGCGACGCUUAUGCGUUGUUGGGUAGGGGAGCGUUCUGUAAGCCUGUGAAGGUGUGCUGUGAGGCAUGCUGGAGGUAUCAGAAGUGCGAAUGCUGACAUAAGUAACGAUAAAGCGGGUGAAAAGCCCGCUCGCCGGAAGACCAAGGGUUCCUGUCC